rnacentral:rRNA from 1 species
UACGUAGGUGGCAAGCGCUGUCCGGAUUUACUGGGUGUAAAGGGCGUGCAGCCGGGAAGACAAGUCAGAUGUGAAAUCCCGCGGCUCAACCGCGGAACUGCAUUUGAAACUGUUUUUCUUGAGUACCGGAGAGGUCAUCGGAAUUCCUUGUGUAGCGGUGAAAUGCGUAGAUAUAAGGAAGAACACCAGUGGCGAAGGCGGAUGACUGGACGGCAACUGACGGUGAGGCGCGAAAGCGUGGGGAGCAAACAGG